rnacentral:rRNA from 1 species
GAUCCUGGCUCAGGAUGAACGCUAGCUACAGGCUUAACACAUGCAAGUCGAGGGGCAGCAUGGUCUAGCAAUAGACUGAUGGCGACCGGCGCACGGGUGAGUAACACGUAUCCAACCUGCCGAUUAUUCCGGGAUAGCCUUUCGAAAGAAAGAUUAAUACUGGAUAGCAUAACGAGAAGGCAUCUUCUUGUUAUUAAAGAAUUUCGAUAAUCGAUGGGGAUGCGUUCCAUUAGUUUG